AGGGUUCGAUUCUGGCUCAGAACGAACGCUGGCGGCAGGCUUAACACAUGCAAGUUGAACGGGAUUGAUUGGUAGCUUGCUAUUAAUCAUGAGAGUAGCGCACUGGUGAGUAACACGUGGGAACGUACCUAUUGGUGGGGGACAACAGUUGGAAACGACUGCUAAUACCGCAUAAGCCCUGAGGGGGAAAGAUUUAUUGCCGAUAGAUCGGCCCGCGGAAGAUUAGGUAGUAGGUGGGGUAACGGCCUACCUAGCCGACGAUCUAUAGCUGGUCUAAGAGGACGAUCAGCCACAUUGGAACUGAGACACGGUCCAGACUCCUACGGGAGGCAGCAGUGAGGAAUAUUGGGCAAUGGAGGCAACUCUGACCCAGCCAUGCCGCGUGAGUGAAGAAGGUUUUCGGAUUGUAAAGCUCUUUCAGAUGAGAAGAUGAUGACGGUAUCAUCAGAAGAAGCACCGGCUAACUUCGUGCCAGCCGCCGC
rnacentral:rRNA from 1 species